UAUCACUAGAGGACGCGCGCUGCUCUUGUUGAUCCUAUCAGGCUUCAGAGUAAAGGUCACGCACUAACGUCAAAGCUUUUUCCCGGUGAAGGGUUUGGAGCUGAUGCCCUGACCAGAGUCGAAGCUCCCACCCCUGAGACGGCAGGUGGAGCCUUUAAAGGCCGGUCUAUGGGCCUCAGCUACAGUGGAGUUGGUGUAAGGGACUGAGAAGU